rnacentral:tRNA from 1 species
GAGAAAGAGGCAUUACGGUUAUGCGGUUGGCUUGAAACCAGUUUUAGGGGGUUCAAUUCCUUCCUUUCUUG